AUUGAACGCUGGCGGAAUGCUUUACACAUGCAAGUCGAACGGCAGCGCGGGUGCUUGCACCUGGCGGCGAGUGGCGAACGGGUGAGUAAUAUAUCGGAACGUGCCCAGUAAUGGGGGAUAACUAACCGAAAGGUUAGCUAAUACCGCAUACGCCCUGAGGGGGAAAGCGGGGGAUCGAAAGACCUCGCGUUAUUGGAACGGCCGAUAUCUGAUUAGCUAGUUGGUAGGGUAAAGGCCUACCAAGGCGACGAUCAGUAGCUGGUCUGAGAGGAUGAUCAGCCACACUGGGACUGAGACACGGCCCAGACUCCUACGGGAGGCAGCAGUGGGGAAUUUUGGACAAUGGGCGAAAGCCUGAUCCAGCCAUUCCGCGUGAGUGAAGAAGGCCUUCGGGUUGUAAAGCUCUUUCGGCAGGAACGAAACGCUCUGGACUAAUACUCCGGGGUAAUGACGGUACCUGAAGAAGAAGCACCGGCUAACUACGUGCCAGCCGCCGCAGUAACAC
rnacentral:rRNA from 1 species